rnacentral:rRNA from 1 species
UACAGAGGGGGCAAGCGUUAUUCGGAAUCAUUGGGCGUAAAGCGCGCGUAGGUGGCUUCGUAAGUCCGUUGUGAAAGUCAAAGGCUCAACCUUUGAAAGCCGAUGGAUACUGCGGAGCUAGAGUACGGAAGAGGCGAGUGGAAUUCCUGGUGUAGCGGUGGAAUGCGCAGAUAUCAGGAGGAACACCAAUAGCGAAGGCAGCUCGCUGGGACGUUACUGACACUGAGGCGCGAAAGCGUGGGGAGCGAACAGG